rnacentral:lncRNA from 10 species
GGGAUUAUAGGUGCCCGCCACCUCGCCUGGCUAAUUUUUUGUAUUCUUAGUUGAGACAGGAUUUCAAUAUGUUGGCCAGGCUGGUCUCGAACUCCUGACUUCAAGUGAUCCACUGGCCUUGGCCUCCCAGAGUGCUGGGAUUACAGGCGUCAGCCACCGUGCCUGGCCUUUAAUGCCGAUCUUUUGUAAAAGUACUUAACAUUAGUAUUCUCUACUUAUAUUAGCAUGAAGAAGAUAAGUCAGUGUAGCUGCUUGGGCGACUUGUAGUGGCUGAAAAACAGCUGAGUAUAAUUAUGACUCAUGUACAUUUCUUUCUUUCAGGGGUGGCCUAUGUAUGCACAGCUACUGAUUGAUUUAUUCAAAUAUUUAGCGCCUUUCCUUAGAAAUGUGGAACUCACCAAACCUAUGCAAAUCCUCUACAAGGGCACUUUAAGAGUGCUGCUGGUUCUUUUGCAUGA